GACCAAGCUUGUCCUGGGUGUGGAAAAUUAUUCUCCUUCCCCUUGAACUGUGCACAUUUCUCAGCUGAAAGAGAAUAUAACGAGGGUGGGUGUGCUGGUAGGAUGUACCCCAUCUAUCACCAGUGGAUGUGCUGGUGGAAUGUGCCCCACAUAUCACCAGUAGACAGGUUUGCUUAAGGAUGCAAACUGUAGAAGGCAGUUCUAAGUCCAAACAAAAUGGCGGUCUAUAAAAAUGAGAUUUGCUCAACCCAAAGGCCUUUCUUUCAACAACCUGGUGUGGUCAGGGAUGAAGCCAGACUGCUCGUGGAGAGUGACUGGAUUAGGGAGUUAACGAUGUAUCAUCCCCAUCCAAUCUACAGUACCCAUCACCCCUCUCCUGGCAGAACAAACGACACACGAGAGGAGACAUUCUUUGCGCUCUGUUGGGCACUGCUAAUGUAUUUCUUGAACUCUUUGACCACCCAACACUAAUCACAUUUACUUGUAGCAGAUGCCAGUGGACUCUGAGAGAUCUUGCUCACACUCUUUAAAGAGGUUUCAUUGUGCACCUUUGAGUCUCUUACAGAAAAAAUAAUCUUGAAGAACAGUAAAAAUCAUCAUUGGAGAAUUAAAUGCUGAAGGCACCUUUGUUGAAAAAAAAAAGAUCAAGACCCCCGGGAGCCCAGAUCUUUGUUUAUGCGAUUCCUCCUGGCCAUCCACCCAGGCCAUCAAGAGACAACCGCCUCUCGCUCCCCAUUUGGUUGCAGCUACAGCAGUGGUUGAGUUUGGUGCAACCAGCUCAUGGGUAUUGUUGUAAGCACCUUGGUCAUACUACAUCGUCAUUGGACUCCCUCAAUCUACGGACAAGACUUCCACAUGACAGCGGGGAAACUGAGGCACAGCAAGGUCAAACAACUUCAAGGUUAUACAGCAGGAAUAGCACGGUGCCAAGAAUCUCCAUGGGCAGGAAGUAAGGCGAUCGAGGAGCUCAUUCUCAUAGUUACUCCAGUCACAACUUUGUCUCUCUAUCCCAACAGCCACAGGCUUUGGUGUUGGGCUGAGACAUUCUAAGGACCGGGCUAUACAAACGCUAAACUGAAUAUGUGUCCUUCCUCUGAAGAUAUCUGAGCAGACCCAUCCAUCUUUGCAUCGCCAAGAUGAGCUUCGUGCUUGAUGGCAUAAGCGGCUCUCUCUCAGUCACCCACCUCAGAGGCGAGAUGAAGACAUGGUAUCGUGUGUGCGGUGUGGCUGUCUGCCUACCUUGGUGACAGUGGAGACGAAGGAUAAUGUUCAGGGGCAACGCAACUGAGAAUGAGGGAUCCUGAUGGCAACAGACUGUGUACCCACUCUUUUCCAAAGUACACACGUACUUAGAAAAGCAUCAGACCCAAACCGAGAGGAGUCUAGAGUUUUCAUUCCAUCACCGAGAUCACCCCAAUAAUAACCGCACCAUGCUUAUGAAGGCCGGUUACCAUCCUGUUCGGUUGUGCAUCCAAUUAGCAUUUCCAUAAUUUAAACCACAAAGCUGUCAUUCUCUAUUAGCUGGGUGGGAGCUGGAACACAUCUUGGAUCUGCCAGCCUCAUUGUCCUCAGUGAUUAAACAGAUUCUAUUUUUUCCAAGUAUUACCCUUUCCAAUAAGGUCUUAGCCAUUCCUUUCGAGCUGCUCGUUUAUCUUGGUAGAAUGACAUAAGGAAAAAAAAAUGAAACCUUAAGCAUUCCUUUAGGAGCACAGCCCCAUCCAUUUAUGCAUGAACAGGGAUGACGGGAAUCAAGUCAGGGAGGCCUUCGCCUACAGAUAUUAAUAGAACAGUGGAGAGGAGUUAAUCUUCUAUUAGAUUACAGUGGAUAGGGAAACUGCCAUCCAAUUGGUAGCAGCUUUCUCUAAUGCUAAUCAUCCGUGCAGUGGGGAAAAGGCUUAAAUACACAUUAGAAAGGUCUGCAGCCUUUAAUGCCAUUAUAAAUGCUGUCUUCACAGGGGGUAGCUAUUAACUUGUAGUGCUGUGAGUAGAGAGGCACAGCUCCAACGGGUGACAGAAAAAAAAAAUCUAAAUAUGUCUGUCCACAAAGAAAGCUGAGUGUUUACUAGCUCUGAGGGGAAAGCGCUAGUGAUGACAGGGAGAGAUGAGAGGACCUUAGCUGGGUGCUGAAGAGGACCAUACAUGAGGAACAGAAGGAUGUUGUGUGUGUCCGAGGAGGACACCCAUCUCCUGUGGGGCAUACUGCUCAGGGAGCCCAACACGGACAGAGUCAGGAGGAAAUGGCAGACAAAGAACAUUUUGAUGAGUUUUAAAAGACUGAGCUCUGAAUGAGAUUUUCUAAAUGUAUUUUGAAGAUAAGAUUUUAGAAUUGUCAAUGGUACAAAAGGCAACAAGGUGCUAAAACGUGUUGUGGGUCAAGGAUUCAGGUCAGCCAGGGGAAUUCUGUGACCAGGAGGGGAACGUGCUGUGAGGUGCAUUCUCUUUGAUAAAAUUAGAACAGGGAGAGUGGAUCAGGCGAAAGCCCCCUUGACAAAGUUGGAUCUGGCCACACUGCUAAGUCGCUGUGUUUACCCGACAGAAUGACUGCUUAUGAAAUGAAUAUCCAAAGUAUCUGAAGGCAAAAGGCAUGGGACAUGGAAUUCAUUCUCCAAUGGUUUAGAAAUAAUUAGAUGUUAACACACCACAAAUAUCAGUGUGGGCAGGGUAAAUACUGCGUGAUUCUACCUACAUGAGGUGUUUAAAAUAACCAAGACUCGUCGACCUGGAGAGAUGGGGGAGGGGAUUUGGGUGGUAUGUAAUUUAUACUUUAAUGAAGUUGUGUAUAAAGUUAACAUGAACAGGUUCGGGAGGAAAACUCAAUGGAUGUCUGCAGGUUACUGUGGGACGGUGGCUGAACAUCUAUCUGUCAGCUGCUGCUUUGAAAUGAGAGAGGUGCGGCCUAUUUGUGGCACAUGUGGGAUAGAGAUGAACCCGACACUGCCUUAAUGUUUUUUAUAAACUCGGCAUUUUUCUGACAGUCACGGGCAGACAAUAAUGGUUGAAUGUCCCCAUUUCUCAGAUUUGGGCUCAAAAGUCAGGGUGCGAGGCCACGCUCAUGUGGCUACAAAGAGUCAAAUCUCAUGCUGUGAGACCUUCUGGAAGUGAGACCUUCCACAUGGCUUUGUUGGGUUAGGUAACAUGAAGCUGGCAAAAAAGCCCCAAGUCAGUUAUGGUUAUAAGGUUACAAACUACACAGACAGGAAAACAAGGUUCCAAUUUUCUGCUUAGGCAGGAAGAAAGCUGUGGCCGCACUGUCACGGAGCCAUUCUUUUUCAUUCUGUCAUAUAAAAGCACAACAAAACAAUAAGUUAAAAUAGAAUAGAUUUGCAAUAGCAUACGAUAGCAGGAAGUUUUCCAAGGUGAAAUGCCACGCGAUUUCAAGGGAUCUUCAACAAUGCACACUGGGUCAGUCAUUUAACGGUGAUCAUUUUAAAGGGAGGUGCAUGUUUUAUAGCGAAGACAGGCUUUCACACUCAGAUUGCGUGUUAAGAAUAAGCAGGGGGCAAAUAUCCGCUUCCUUUGGUUUCUCGACUUUAGGACAUGUAGAAGCUACUUUUAGGGGGCAUAGAUUUGACAUGUGACUCAGUUUUGCAUAUUUGUCACCCACCGUGAAAUGCUUAGGGAGGCACCAGAAAAAUAUUGUUUAUGGAAGUCUUCCAUCAGAUUCUGUCCACGGGAUGUGUCGCCGUUAUGAAACACUCCCUCACAGAGGUCCGAAACCUGCCCACUUGCCUCUUCUGAACAGAUGGCUGUUCCCUGCAGGAACCCUGACUGGCAGUGCUGAUAUACGACAGAGGGUAUCACAUGAAAAUAAAGUGGAAGGGGGUCUAUUUGGGAAGGGUUUGGAAGAGGAAGGGGACAAGGGAUGGUCAUGGGUGAUAAGGAGGCGAAUAUAAUAAAAACACAUUAUGUACGUGCAAGAAAAUGUUACGAUAGAACUGCCAUAUAGAUAUAGCUAAUAUAGCCUGAUGAAAAUGUUUAGAACUGUGGUUAUUAUUAUAAUCUGUGAGAUGUGAUUUGGAGAUGACAAUUCAAAAUUAUACACGAACACAUAGAGUGACUAUCCUAGCUCCCUGGGCUACCACUACUGCCCUUGAAGAAUAUCUGUAUAAACUCGGAAGUCAGUGUUGUGUAAAAUCCCCCUGAGUACAGUUUUACUCUGAAAUACUCUUAGUUCUGACUAUAGUUCCUGGACCAUUUCAGCAAAACUCACCAAGAGACAGCUGAACCAGGCAGGGAAGAUGAGGUUCGUGGCAGACUUGGGAGGUCCCCCAAGAAUGGAAAUGAGGGGUGUUUGAGGCCUGCUAUGACUCACACUUGAAAGCCAUCACGGUGAUGGCUUACACUGGAUACCCAAAGAUCCUGGAGGGGAGAGCUACAUUAAGAUUGGAGUGUAAUACUAAACAUAGACCGGAAAAUUUAGGGUUUUUUAAAAAGAUUUAUUUAUUUAUUAUAUGUAAGUACACUGCAGCUGUCUUCAGACACACCAGAAGAGGGCACCAGAUCCCAUUACAGAUGGUUGUGAGCCACCAUGUGGUUGCUGGGAUUUGAACUCAGGACCUCUGGAAGAGCAGUCGUGCUCUUAACCACCGAGCCAUCUCUCCAGCCCAGAAACUUUAGGUUUUUUUUUUUUUUUUUUGGUUCUUUUUUUCGGAGCUGGGGAUCGAACCCAGGGCCUUGCGCUUCCUAGGUAAGCGCUCUACCACUGAGCUAAAUCCCCAGCCCCAAACUUUAGGUUUUUAACUAGUGGUUUUGGAACUGUGUCUCCAGGCCUCUAAGGACAUGAAAGUUCAGUGCGCAGUGUAUGCACAGGCCUAUUCUCCUGGUCCCACCAACAUGUAUCUCACUUUGGGUUUUAGAGGGAGAAGCAGGAUGAUGCCUGAAAUCACACAUUAGAGCCUCAGACAGUGCAAGUGGCAAGUUCUCGAGUGAGGUCCUCCCAGGUAACAUCUAGGCCCCUUUGGACCAUCUCUCUCCGUUCUCAGCAUCUCACAGCUGAGAAUACAGAGACUGGAGGUGCGGCGGCGUUCUGGGGCCGCCUGUCACAUCCUGUGGAGGCAGAGCAGAGCCAGGUUCUCCUACCUCGGGGAUGGCUGGACUCUCAGGCUACUUUCUAAGUUGGCCUUCCUGCUCCAUGGAAAUAAAGACACCAAAGGACCCCAUGGGAGAAGGGACAAGGCUUCCUGGCCAGCAUGCGUUCCUGCAAGGCUCUGGACGUCAGGCCUGCAACAUCACAGUGAGACUGAUGAAAGCUGCCUGGGCUUGCCGAGACUGUGAAAUUAAUACUCCAUUGUCUUCUUUCCUGAUUUCCUUCCAACCGGCAUGCUCCUCUCCUCAAUAUGCAUUGUUAGGAAUCCCCUGAAGUAAUUAUUAACGCGCGUGACAGCCGGUGCUUGUAAACCAUCUUACAAAUACAAAGGCAGGUUCUGUAAAUGUUUAUUCUCAUUAGCGAGGCUAAUUAGACCAAUGGCUCAAUGCAAUAUUCCCACACAAAGGUUUCUGGGUGAUGCUCACUGUGCAUGACAGGAAAUGUCAUGGAAACAGCAUCGAGCGCUGCUCCUGAACCCCGGACGCCUGGGAGGUGAGCUGAGGAAAAGCAUUUCUGCUUUCCCAAAUGGAGACGAGAGAAAGGACCAGUUGGGAGUCCUGCCCUGUGUGGAGCCAUUUUUCUCAAGUCUCUGCUUUGUGGACUGCAUGCUGCAAUGCCAUAAAGUGCUUCCGCGUUCUUCAGGUCCUGAGAAUACAUCUUAAAAGAUGGAUGGCUCUCAGAGGUGAGGGGCCUUGCUUGGGGUCAGAACAGAUUAUACAGGCUUGCUGGCCAUGUGCCUUGCAUCAAAGGGACAAAAGAGGGACAUUCUUCUAAUGCUGCUCUUUAAGACUCCUACAUACUUAGAGAAAAACAGCUCCCGAAACGCCGAUGUCUCCAACACGACAGUUUUGAUUGACAGUACUGCAGGCUAUAAUAAUUGUAACAUAGUUUCUUUCUCCAUUCUCGGGCUCGCAUCUAGGGAUCCUGAACUUGGGUGGGCUGUCCUUCCCAGGGUGAGCUGCCUAGACAGCAAACGUGACUGUGAACACAGACUUGGCACCUGAAUGACUCAAUCCUUAGUUUAUACUCUAUACCCAGCCCCUUUUCCAGCAUGUGUAGUAUGGGACACUAUUCCUCAGCCCCUAAUUACCCAAUUUCCAAACCCCUUUUGGAGUAAUUACUCCAAAGCCAGUAGCACAGACCAUCUUUACUGCUUAGAGCACACAGAUGUGUUCAUAAUUCCUGUCUCCCAGAUUUAUAGCUUCCCCAAUUCCUUCCUAUAAAAGCCUGAAUAAAAACUCUCACACGCACUUUCUCCUGAUCAACCCUGGUGCUUCCCAAGUGGCCUGUGGUACCUCCUGCUUCUAGAGCUCGGUAUGAUCUCAUUCCUUCGUGACAGGCAUUUCCUUAUUGUGUCUCGUGAACCACACAAAAUUAAAACAUGUCAGGCACAGGACUAAGGGUGUGAUGGUGAUUCUUCUGGACACAUCCCAACUUCCUUCCUUCCUUCUUUGCAAACUCCACUGCACCAGGCCUGGCUAUAUGUUAACAGGCAAUCCCAUCAACUACACUGCAAGUAGGCCUGAGAUUUUACACUGUUUUAUUAACUUAGAUAUUUAUUAUAUAUUAUUAAAUUAUAUAGACUCAGGAUCGGCUAGUUCAGGUACUAAGGGUUUGCCCACAGGCAAACUUACUAUUUAGGAACCAGCUUGUCUUAGAGUUUCCAUUCCUGCAUAAAACAUCAUGACCAAGAAAGAAGCAAGUUGGGGGAGGAAAGGGUUUACACAGCUUACACUUCCACAUUGCUGUCCAUCACCAACGGAAGUCAGGACUGGAACUCAAGCAGAUCAGGAAGCGGGAGCUGAUGCAGAGGCCAUGGAGGGAUGUUACUGACUGGCUUGCUUCCCCCUGCCUUGCUCAGCUUGCUCUCUUAGAACCCAAGACCACCAGCCUGGGGAUGGCACCACCCACAAUGGGCUGGGGCUUCCCCUCUUGAUCACUACUUGAGAAGAUGCCUUAGAGCUGGGUCUCAAGGAGGCAUUUCCAGAACUGAGGCUCCUUUCUAUGUGAUAACUCCAGCUUGUGUCAAGUUGACACACAAAACCAGCCAGUACAUAGCUUAGCACUGGGAAGGGCAAAUCCUACAUGCUUCUCAAAAUCACACACACACACACACACACACACACACACACACACACACACACACAUUUAAUAAAUGUGGGGUGGGAGGGUAACAUGUAUGAAGAAGGUCAAAGAACAACCUUGGGUGUCAUCCUCAAAAACACUGCCUAUGUCUCCUGAAACGGAGUCUCUCUUUGGCCUGGAGCUCACUAAGUAGGAUAGACUAGUUGGCCAAUGACUCUCAGGGCUCCUCUGCCUCCACCUCUCCAGCGAUUAAUGUCAGGCGCCUGCCCCUCCCCCUGGCCUUUUUUUGUGGAUCCUGGAGCUCAGACACAGGUUUCCGUGCUUGUGAUGUGUGCCCUUGACAAACGGAGUGACCUGACCAGUCCAUUAUUAACUGUUGAGGAUUUCAAUGGCUUUAUAAAGGAUCCCAUGAGCUAAUGGACAAGUGCAGACCAGGGAGGUGGGUUGCUCCUGACCGAGCCCUUAUAAACUCCAUCACGGUCUCUGCCUUCCCGAGUUAUAAACUCCAUCACGGUCUCUGCCUUCCCGAGGUAUAAACUCCAUCACGGUCUCUGCCUCUCCGCGUUGGAGGCGAGAGCGAGUAUUUCUGUCUCUUCUCACUGGGACAUCAUACCUUCUUAGAGUUGCUGCUGCCAUGUGGCAGGAGGACUUUUAAUAAAGCCUGCUAACGGAAUAUGAUAAUCACAUAUGUAAUUAGGGAAGAUGGAGAACAGAUGUGUAAUGAGGAUGGCCGUGGACAGGGGCAUCUCCAGAAAGGCACGAAUUGGACUUAAGUGGUGUGUUGGCCUGCCUCUCCCAAACGAGAGCUGCCUUCAGUUUCAUAUACUGUGCUCUCAUCCUGGGCAAGGAGGAAGAGUGGCCCUAGGUAAGGUGUGAGCAAAGGCAGAGAAAUGCUCUGUGAGCCACUAUGGCCUCAGGGUUUGGCACAACGCCUUCUAAAACCCCCAAACAAACACCCUAAAACCCAAAACAGCAACAACAAAGACAACAACAACAAAGACAGCCACAACAGCCAAAACCCAACCCCUUAAGCAGCACUUGGCUAACGUCAUGAACCAAGAGAGUAGGGGCAUCAUGUUCACAGGCUUCUGAUCUGGGGUGGUUAACACUGUCAGCCCGACGGCAUCCAGGAUCACCUCAGACAAGUCUCUGAGGACACCUUGGAGGGAUUAUCAAGAUUGGGUGAACCGAGGUGGGAAGAAUACCCCGACGGAGAACAGACUGCUUCCCAACUGGAUGUAGUGUGCCAGCUGCCUCAAGCUCCUGCCAUCUUGACUUCAUGUGACAGACUGUAGCCCUCCCUUCCUCAAGCUGGUUGGGUAUUUUAUCACAGCUACGGGACACUUCAGGACAAACUGUCCCAGAAGGAAAUGAUAUGCUCGACUCAAAACAAUUACCUCAGGCCUUGCCAAUACUGACAGCCAAAGGCUAUCCAAAGACACUCUGGUUGAGGGUGGAGGGCAGGGGUGCUGAGCUCUGGGAGGCACCGCAAUUAGCCUAAAAUCUCCACUAUACCUGAGAGCUUUUUUAUUUACCCCUAUUAUUUCUUGGGCACACUGGUUAGGGAUGAAACACUAACACCCUCAUGAGAAAUGUCCUUAUUCACACUACGCUUCUGAUUUUUCCAGUGGGGAUUCACAGGGACUAUCAUCCUCUUCUGUCAGCUCAAAACAGGGAGCGAGGUGUGCAGUUCUCUGGGAAAUGUAAACACAGAAAUGUGAGUGUCCUCACACACAUAAGAUAUCCAUUGUGAUUAUUCUUCAGGAAGCUUUAUAAGCACCAGAAUAACAAGGAACAGAAAGUUAUUUAAGUAGCAUUGCCAGGGAAUGGUGUCCACGCAGUGAAUGAGUAACUCCUGUGAAGAAAGCGGGAGGCCACAGCCAGCAUGAACCCUUGCCCCUCGGCAAGCCUGCUGCCCUCCGUUUGCAGUCUCAGCAGCCUUGCCAGGAGGCUGGGCCCUCCCUAGGCUAAAGCACUCCGGAUCCAGUGGACUGUGAACUCUGUGUUCUUGGGGUCUUUCUCGUGCGUCCACAUCAUCCACCUUCUUUGUAGAAUUCAUUAUAAAGAACCCACAGAGGGGCUGGAGAGAUGGCUCCGUAGUGACGGACACUGGCUACUCUUCCUGAGGACCCAGGUUUGUUUCCCAGCACUCAACGUGGUGGCUCACAACCAUCUGUGACUCCAGUUCAGAGGCCUCCAUGGGCUAUACAUGUACAUGGUGCACAGACAUACACGCAGGCAAAUCACCCAUAUUACAGAAAGAGAGAAGAGAGAGAGAGGAGAGAGAGGAGAGAGAGAGAGAGAGAGAGAGAGAGAGAGAGAGAGAGAGAGAGAGAAAUAAGAAUGAGAAUAUAAUUCAUAGAGGUGACCAACCAGUAGCUCUCACAAGCUUCCCAAUGGGAACACUGGUUCUGUUUCUCCCAGGGGAUUUUGACAAAGUCCCUGGAACUUAUGAAGGAAUUCUGCAGCGGGAACUGGGACCUUGGACUUUUCAUACAGUGAACCUAACUUAUACAUAGGAAUCACAUAUCGGCUAUAUUAUUUUUGCCUUGGAGAUGGCUAUUCUUGGUUGUCAACUUGAUUAUAUCUGGACUUAACUAAAAAUCCAGGCAGCUGGGUACACCUGGUGAGUGAUUUUUACUUAACUGGAUCACUUAAAGAAGUAGGAAGAUGCCUUGUAAAUCUGUCCCCCACACUCUGGUGGCCACCUGUGUAAAAGAGAUAGAAGGAAGAGACUUCCACUCUUUGCCCGCUCGUCCUCACUCUCAAUGGUAGGUCCAUUCCUGCGCUGGCAUUAGAGCCUACUUCUUUAGGAUUCUAGCACAUACUGGGCCAGCCAGCCUUGUGAACGACUACUGGAUUCUCGGACUUGCCAUCAGCAGGCAGCCAUUGCGGGAUUAGCUGGAUCCCAGCCUGUAAGCCAUUCUAAUAAAUCCUCGUUUCAUACAGAAUCCUUUCCUCAGUCUGUUCCUCUGGAGAGCACUGACCAAUGCUGCCCUUGGCAUCUCCACCACUUGCUGUUUUCUUCUCUACCUUCAUCCAAAUCCAUCUACAUUUAUUCUCUCACAAGUUCUGUCCCUCUCUUUAAACUACUAAAAUGAAAACCUCUGUCAAAUGAAAGGAAGCUGGCGGUCUAAUGUCGCUGGCAAACACGCUGGUGUCGGUCCAGCAUGAGCUCGUAUCCGACAUCUGUCUCAGUCACGGGGAAAUACGUCUGAGCCACGCACAUCUGUCCUGGCAACCACAGCAGGGACACAAAUGAAACACCCUAAAUUAAAUUCCAGCGAGCUGCAAGUCUAAUGAGCUUUAUUAGCAGAUGAGCACACAUUUAGAGAAAGCUGCUGCUGACCUGCUACUGUGACCCCCCUACGGUGAGGGAGAAGACCUGUGAAAUUAAGCCGAUAUGCAGACCUUCUGUCUGGAUCACAUACCGGGGGGAGCAGCCCUCCUGAGGAAGUGGGGGCAGCUGAUAGAUAUCUCUAGGGGAUGGACCGCCAUCUUGGGGGCUCACUCUUGCUACUCUCCCUCCCACUCAAAGAGGAGGCUGGCACUUAUGUUGGAUGCCCCCUGAGCCAUUGAGACGCAUGCAUUUGGAUCCUGUUGCCAUGUUCAACCCGAACACACCCUUCGGGUUGCUGCCUCUGGACUCUCAGCGUAAGUGGCCCUUAAUGGCUCUAAGUCACUGGCUGCCCUACCUCACCAGCUCUCGACACAUGGUUUGCCUUGGCUUUAACCACGUGCCUCCUCUAAACCUAUAAUAGCCCGUUCUUCUCUUAUGAGGACUGGAUAAACACAAGGCUCAUGAAAUGAAAACACCAGGUUAUUCCCUUUCGACUGUUUUCUUUUUUGGGGGAACCUAGCAACCUGGUAUUAAUAUCUUAGUAUUUAUAUACGUCCUGGUGUGAGCCCAUCUACUUGGUAUCUUACAUUCUGGAAACUCUCACACUCAGAAACACGAUUCCAUUAUGCACAAAUAUAAUUCCUCACGAGGGCUCUAAGCACCCUGCCUACUGGGGAUAAUUCCUAAUUAAAUAAUGCAAUGCUCAUUUUACAUUUAAUGAACUCGAGGAAGCAAGGGCUUUGGGGGUAGAUUCUCUGCCAUUUAAAUCCUGACCCAACUGCUCUGCCAGCUUUCAUUUUUUUCUUUAAUUACCACAGCUUAGUUUGUUUUUAAAAAGUACCUUUAGUAUUUCAACAUUCUCAGUGAAAUAUAAAACAAUAAGAGAAAAGCAAGAAAAAGAGGAAUUUCACUGACGUUUGAAACAAAGAUUAAAUGUGGACAAACACAUCAGGCAUUCUAUGAAGCGCAAGAACGAAGAGAUAACGAGAAUUUGGGGAAAGGGCCAAGUUGGACAAGAGUCCUUUUCAGUCUUUCGAUUCCAAGUUUUUCUAGAUCUUUUAUUUUUACUUCAGGAGACUCCACUGUACACAGUAUACUGGCCUCUGUUGACUGACUGGUGCUUUUACCCAGGGAGCCUUGGUGAACCCACCCCACGUGGCUUUAUUCUCAGCUGCAGAUUUAAUGCGCUGCCCGUAACGACUUUGUCCUAUGCAACAGAUGAGGCGAGGUGUAUGUGACCUGCCCAGCAGCCUGUGGGGACUCAAAUUCUCUACUGGGAGUGGAGGGAACCUGUAAGUAGUGACUGGGAUGUCCUGGAACUAAGGCUUAGCUAUUCAAGAGAAUGUUUUAGGGGCAAAUGAUAGCUCCCUUCUGCUCUUCUCCUGAAAAGGGGAGGAGGGGAACUUUCUAGAAUACUGAUGCUGACAUUGUGCACGGUGGCUCACAGAAAUCUUUCAGGAUAUCACUUCAUUUCAUGGGCGCUGCUUUCCAGGUUGACACAAGGGUUAUCUCCAUCUGUGUGUACAAGUAAGGAAACUCAGAGCCAAGUGGCUACCUAACUGUCCCAUGGGCCUUAUGACGGAACCUAGACGGGACACUGCUCAGGGCACACCCAACUGUAGCCGUGUUGUUCUCCUCCUGCCCUGACUGAUUCUGUGCACAGGCUCCAGGCCAUCAGACUCUAAGCUGUACUGAUGGUAUGACAAGCAAUAUUACAUUAGCUAAAUGGAAUCCUCUUCCUCUCCUCCCCCUCCACAUCUCCUGCCGCCGCCGCCGCCAAAGAAUCGGACAUAGCCUGGUUAGAGGCAGACUACAGUCUACUCAUCAACCCAAACUAGCUCGGUUGUGAGUCAGCCAUCUUCGUUAAGGGCAACGGGCCCACUGGCCAUGUCCAGGUCUUUGUAGUGACCAUUUAAUAGAUUAGAACAUUGAGCUGUAAUUAGUCUCUGUCAAUGAUAUUAGACGUUUACAAAAUAAGGCAAGUGAUAAAAAUAUAUCUCCCUGCUCCCUGGGAAUGAAGUUGAUCCUCUCCUUCCGCAGAUAAGAGAAUUAUCACUGGAGGGCAAUCUCCCACCUCCACAAUCUUUAUGGCGAUAUUUCAAUUAAACUGCCUGGAAAUAAUCAUAUUUGAAGGAAGUAGAGAAGACUUCUUGAGGUGAGUCAUCACGGGGACGAUGUCUACGACGUACAGCCAUUUUUGUGUCUUGCAAUCUUCCUUGGCUUCACUUUGCUAUUUUUUAAAAAGCAAAGUAAUGCAAUACAAAAAUGGCUCCAUUUUCUUUUUUUAAAAAAAUCAGGACAACCCUAUGAGACAUUGAAAGAAUUUUAGAGUAAUGUUUCCAUCCACACCAAACAGCUCUAAGGAACAUCUUUUUUUUUUUUGACAAUAAAGCUUUCUUCCUUAUGUCCAAUACUAUACUAUUUUUUAUACUCUUUGAAUAAAGAGGAGAAAUACAAAUGCUUAUUAUUCAACAAAGCAAUUCUGGUAAAUUAAAUUCGUUCAAUACACAUAAGGCAUAGAGGACCAAACACUUCCGUGGGUGGGAAGUUAAUAUUCAAACACAGUACAGCCGGGACCUUCUGCAUACUGCUCAGGUCUAUCUUUGGCAAAAGAUGGCAGAAUUCCAGCCUGCGGCUUCUCUCCCAGGGUGGGAAUCUGAUUUCCACAGCACCAGCUGUCAUUGGAAGUGGUUCUAAAAUUCACACAGACCGUCUUGUAGCUUUUCUCCUAGGAUCUGAGUUGACAGUUCCUGCUUCCAAUCUGAAGGAGACCAGAUAUUGCUAGCAAGAUUAGUCUUCGGUAACACAAAAACUCCUCUACUCAAAAUCCAGGCACGUUUGACUCCUGUAAGUAAUAGGAGGAGGAGGUGGACGCAGGUUGUACCUAGGAUGCUCAUGCUGUUGGGGUAGCUAGCGAAAUCAUUCAACCGCCAACUCAGGAGCUAAAAAUAAAGAGUCCUAAUUUAUUAGGUGCUUAAAAAUUGGCUCUGACUAAACACAGGAAGUUGGUGAGAUGAGUCCUUAAGAUCCAUUCCAACUCCAAGAGAAUGUGUACUGUGCUCAUCUUUGGCCUGAACUCUGCCUCUAAUCCAGUGCUGGCCGGUAUCCAACCUUGUUCAUUUAAUAGUCGACAUUUGUCAAGGGCUCCCCAUGUACUGAGCCCUGCGUUAGAGGACAGAUACAAAGAAGGCUUCUGCCUUUGAGGAAUGUGGAGAAGCAUUAGAUUCAAAGAGAGACGUCUGAAGGCAGGCACAAUCGACUGUGUCUCCAUGUGUGGGCCUCACUGUUGAAGCAAGCGGCAGGCUGGAUGCUCUGAUGGUGGAUAUGGUUUAUAUGUAAACUCUAUCAUGUGCUAACAUUUUCUGAGAGGUGCCCACUGGUAAACUGACUCCUCUCUGUGCCUUAGAAAAAGCAGCAGAGUACAAGGCUGAACUACAGAAGACGCUGCUUCCUUUUGUUCUUAAUAAACAAAACACCCAUCAGCAUGUGUGGCAUAUGAUAUUUUAAUCAAGGUGUCAAAGAUGCCAGGCAUUAUUUCUGGCUGUAGGAAGUGAAUCAGGCUAUUGAUAGCAGUUAGUAGGACAAGAAUUUGAGACAUAGAGUCAGGAUGUCACAUGGAGUCACUAGAAGUAAGGAAAAGCCAAGCACUGCCUAUCCCCAAGCUCAGAGCUCCUAUAAAACUUCUCUUGAUCAAAUUCACAGCAGAGGAGCUGCAGAAAAGAAUGAGGAGGCCUUGGCACUUUAAAGUGUGGGACAAUUUGUGGGGAAAUGGCAGGAGGAUUGUCUCUAGGCUCCCCCAGGAGCCAGGCUUGAAAAGCAAAGUCCUACAAACCCACUGCCUACUGCAGAGCAUUCUGGGCGUGGCUUGGUCCUGAGUGCCGUGUUUUGAAGCAGUGGUGUUUUGAGUUCCACUGUUUAUUUUUCUUAGGCUGACAAUCAGUGCCAAAGCAAGGAACAAACAAGAGUUGGAUGUGGUGAGAAGAAAGGUAAGCUUUGAACCGACCCAGACCAGCGUGAUGAACCCUCUGAGAUCUGAGCAAGGAUCUCCCUCACCUUGGGUUAGGGUUGAAACAACAAGGCUUACUGAGUCCUUUGUUUGAAGAUGAAAAUAUUACAGACACUUUCUAUUUUUACUUAUGUAUAAAAGUGUGCCAGCUUGUCUGUAUGGGAAUCAUGUUCAUGCAGGUGCCUGUGGAGGUCAGGGGGUCAGCAGAGGGUGCUGGAUCCCUCGGAGUGGGAGUUAACGGUGGCUAACACCCUCCUAGUGCUGGGAACCGAAUGGGGUCCUCUGCAAGCCAUCGAUCCUGCCCUAAGAACACAUUUAUACUGUCCCUGGCCUCAUAAAAGACACCUCACAGCCACGUGGAGCCACACUUCCAUUGGUAGGCCUGGUGAGUCUCGGCUUACUCUCCACGUCAUCAAGGAACCCAUCGAAAUAGGCAUUCAAGAUCUUCAUCUGAAAGGUAGUAAACAUGUAUUUCUGUUGUCACUGGGGGUUCAGAUAGUCAUAGUGGGAGGGGAUGAUGAUUUACCCCCACAGGGGAUGAUUUACUUGGGAUUGUUCCUGAGCUUGCUGGGGUGGGGGAAGGGCAGGGAGAUCUAAGCCUUGGUCAGGAAUCCUGAGCUGAGAGAGCAUAUGCUGACAGGCGAGGAGCUGUUCCAGAUAAGGUGAGGGGCAGUGGAAAUGAACUUAAUGGCUUCAUUCAGGACACGGAGGCUGAGGCACAACACACACGAGAAGCUCUCACAGAGGAGUCUUUCAGUUUUUCUCUUGGUUGAAGCUCGUGGGAACCCACAGUUCCACAAGGCUGCAGCUUUACAUAAAAGUUUCAGUGAUGGGUAAUUUAAGCUUUGUUUUCCACGGAGAGUUCCACUUACAAGGGCUUUUAAAAGGGUGCUGGAAGGAAAACAUCCCGCUGCUUGUUUUGACUGAGCUCUAAUGGCUAUGAACAUUUUCAGUACUGAUGCCCCAGCGUUACACAGGGCUCAACUGAAAGAAAAAAAAAAUCCCCUCACAGCCCUCAACUCUCUCAUAAAACAUCGCAUAGAGAAGCAAGAUAUCGUUCAGUUGUAGCUGUGUGAGCAGCUGGCGUUAGUGCAGUGUGGGCUCCGUUUUGGGCUCUAAACAUUCUAGCCAGGGUCAUCCAGCAUUUCUGCUUGUGAUUACAUGGUUUCUUAUUUGCAUGAGAUUCCCAGAUCCUUCUGUCCCCACUAUAGCUGAGGUACAGUGUUGGGCUAUCACGAUUUUCUGUCACCUUGUUCCUAUCUACUGUAAGUUCAGGGUUCAAAGGGCAUGAACAGUGAGGGAAUCCCAGGGCGCUUUCCGUUGCGUUGGUUAAGGCUACAUGUUGCUUCUAUCUUUGUGUUGUUGUUGUUACUUUAUAUCAAGGCUGGUUCUGACUGGUUUCAUUUUAUUUUAACCAAGCAUCAGCCAAGCCAUCUGAUUGUUUCCAUCAAGAGAUGACCAAGUGGUUGACAGGCAGCCAUCUUAAAGUGUUCAUCCUCAUUUACUGUGUCUGAAAUGUCACCUCCCUGCCUAUUACACUUUGGAUCUUAGAUUGCUCCCAAAGGCCCAAGUGUUUAUGGCCCAUUCAUUGGUGUCAGUACAGGGACAUGGUGGAAUUUCAGUAGGCGGGGCCUAGUGGGAGGAAGUUAGAUCAUUGGUGGUGUGUCCCCGAAGAACAUACUAGAACCCAGACCUUUUCCUGUUUCUCUCUCUGCUUUUUAACUGCUAUGAAAUAGGUAGCUUUGUCCAUUGUUUCCACCAUGAUGUUCUGCUUCACCACAGGUCCAAAGCAAUGAAGCCAACCAAAUAUGGUUGAAAACCUCAGGGCCAAGUCUCUCUUCCUUAUGAUCUGAUUAGCUCAGUGUGUGUGUUACUGUUCUAUUGCUGUGAAGAUUUACCACGAUGAAAGAAACUCUUAUAAAGAAAGCAUUUAAUUGAGGGCUUGCUUAUAGUUUUAGAGGACUAGUCUAUGGUCACUAUGGUGGGAAACAGACAGACAGGCAUGGCACUGGAGCUAAGAGUGGGGCUUUUAGAUCAUCAAAGUAUAUUCCCAGUGGUGACACAUCUCCUCCAAUAAGGACACACCUCUUCCAACAAGGCCACACCUCUUCUAACAGGCCACACCUCCUCCAAGACCACAUCUCCUCUAACAGGCUACACCUCCUCUUAUAGGCCACACUUCCUUCAAAAAGGCCACACCCCCUAAUCCUUCUAAUCCUUCUCAGACAGUUUCACUCCCUGAUGACAGAGCAUUCAAAUGGGAGCCAAUAUCAUUCAAACCAUCACACUCUGAUAUUUUGUCAUAGUAACAGAAAGCUGACAUGUUACUCCACCUCAUUCCUAUCUUCUCCAUAGGCCUCUGUUCCCCUUUUAGUGACAAUCACUGAUCUACAGGGUUCUUGUUAACCUUGUCUACUGCCUAUUAUUCCUACAGGCAGCCACCUCAGGAAAGGACCUGGCGUCUGUUUUUACCGCUGUGCCCUGCCUAGCUCAGUGCUUGGAACAAAACAGUGUUCAUCAUUUGUGGAGGAGUGAAUUUUAGUGUGAGGUCAUGGUGUACUUGUAGAGGUCAGAUGUUAAUUUGUGGGAGUCGGUUCCCUCUACUAUGUGGGUCCUAGGACUUGAGCUUAGGUCUUCAGGUCUGGUAGUAACUUCCUAUACCCCAAGCCAUGUCACUGGCUCUGUGAACAUUCUACCACAUAAAAAUACUCAGUAAUUUAUACAGGGAUUAAGGAAGUUAAUACAAGUUAAACAUUUAACACAGGAAGAGACAGGUGUCCUGUGUGUAUUGUACAGCUCCUCUAGUGAUGUAGACAGAAUGUGGUGUGUUUUAAGUUCAUUUUCUCUAACAAAAAGGAGUGGCUCAUGCUCUUAGGGGAUGGUGUUGGAUCAGAUGCGUGCACUGAUGGGGUACACCCAGUCACAGGGUCCUCGGAGGGAUGGUUCUUGACUCUCUCCCUCACCAACAUCCAAGCAUGUUCAAGUCUAUUACAUGAGACACAAUGGCAUUUGCAAAUAAUUCAUGAACAUCCUCACGAUGCUUUAUAUCACCCAAGUUACUUUCAAUAUUGAAUAUAGUAUAAAUAAUUGUCAUCCUACACAAAGGGAGCUGAGGAAAACAUUCUGACAUACAGAAUGAGGUAGCUGGAAGUGACAAGUUCCAGAGGACAGGGGCCCAGUCAAAUCUCAUCUGUCAAUAUCUCGAAAAUAAUAAGAAAGAAGUCUGUAUGCAAUACAGAUGUAAGUUUUCUACAAGUAUCCUUAAUCUGUGGUUGACUGAAUCCCCUGGUGAGAAACUUGUGGAUGGUUAUAGAAAGAAUGCAGACUAUAUUUAGCAAAUGUUUUCUCCCUAAGAAACCUUUAUGUCUUCACUUUUGAGGAUAGAGGGCUCGAAAACGUUUGUUUGCUUGUUUGUUUAUUUAUUUAUUUUUAACAAUCAGGCAAGCCACAUCAAGUUUAAUCUGAUUUCUUUGGGUACAAAUCUCUCUUAGCUCUUGGCUCUUCAGAUGUCCCAGAGUUCUACUUAAGCGUAUCAGAAUAGAGAUUAUGUCUUGUAGCACAACUGGGGAAGGACCAGGAAGAAUCUAUUUAUGGUGGGGAAGGUCCAGAGUCACUGAGCCACUCAGUCAUGUGUGAGUGUGAAGGACACAGGUGCCAACCUGGGCUGCUGAGUAAGGUUUCCAAGUGAGCAUGGGGACAGGGAGUCAAUGUUGUUUCCUAUAAGGAUUUCAGAAAUGUCCCCCUUCCCUCCGGGAGCCUGAGUAAAAUGUAACUAAAACUGUUCCUAUCGUGGAGUCUGUAGGCCAGCAGCCCUCAUCUUAGACCCAGCCAAGGCUCCCUGGGGAUGCUGGAGGGGACAAUAAACACACUUCUGUGGCACAGCAGCAGAGCUCUCCAACUUUCUUGAGCUCGCUUGCUUUCAAACCGAAGUGACUGUCCAUGUCCAGCGAGGUCAAACACAUUAUCGACCCGCAUAUCUUGAUUCCGUGUGUGCUUGGUUGAGUGAUCUGAAUGAAAGCUUAAGCUAAAUUCUUGGAGUUUUAUUUCGCUCAAGGGCAAAAUUUACAAUUAAGCCAUCUCUAACAAACAUCUGUUUCUUUUAGGCAGCGGCAUGUGUGGGAUUGGACAGUUGCUUUGAAACCUAAUCCACACACCGUCUCUAUAGUAUUCAUUUUACUGUCAUCUGUCACGAAUUAUGUCAUAAUUUCCCCACUCGCCUUCUUCACAGCUGAUCAGCGGCUCCACACAAAGGGAGCCGAGAAAAAUUCUGACAAACAGAAUGAGCUAGCUGGAAGUGACUCUAUUAACCUCCGUGACAACUUCCAGAGGACAGGGACCCAGUCAAAUCUCAUCCGUCAAUAGCUCGUUCAGGGAGCAAACACACAUGCACACACGCUACUGUUACACACAUGCUACUGUGUCAAACAGCUGGCUACUCCAGAGCGCUUUGUUUACAGAGUCCUUACUGGGUUAACGGAGUCACAAGGUCACUCAUUCCUGGAUACAGUCAGCCUUGACUCCUCCUUAAAGGGGCUUCGUAGGGAGGAAUUUUUGGAAGCAAUGAUUCACUCACCGCAUAUAACUGACUCGAGAGGUGAAUUAUUAAAAACGAUUAUGGGCCUUCUGAUCAGUCACCUGCAAUUCUAGCAGCAGCCGCAAGGAGACUAACCUGUUUAUAUGUCUGAUAGCUCUCCCUGUUUUAAACUGAAGAGUAACGUAGCAUUCAGCUGUUGAACAAGACAUAGGAUACUGACAGGUGGGAUUAACUAGAUGCCAGUCUGAGGGAGGCACAGGAUGGGAGAAGGAAACAAAACAUAGGAUCCACCUCCUAAUAGGUCUGCGGGCAGCAGCUACUAGCACCAUCACUGGGUGCAUAGGCAAGCUCAGGGCCACAGGGUCCCAGAGAGUGCCUCACAGCUACUGUGCUAUAGCCUGAGGCCGAUGCAGGGAACGGCAUGUGGAUGAUGACAGCUGGAAGUCUCAUCCUUAAACGUGGAAAAGCUGCACGUGGCAAUCAGAGAUGACCUCAGAUUCUUUGCCACACUUCUUUCUUAUUGAAAGAACUUCAAUAUUUAAAAUUUUUAUUAAUUUUUACUUAUAUGAGUAGAGUAUAGCUGUUUUGAGAUGCACCAGAAGAGGACACCAGAUCCCAUUACAGAUGGUUGUGAGCCACCAUGUGGUUGCUGGGAUUUGAACUCAGGACCUCUGGAAAGAGCAGUCAGUGCUCUUAACCGCUGAGCCAUCUCUCCAGCUCCGAGAACUUCAAUAUUUAAAAUGUCUCUUUGGGGCGGCAAGAGUCCAUGCGCACAUGAGUACGUGCAUGCCUGCGUGCGUGCGUGCCUGGGUGCAUGUCUGUUCAUGUAAGCUUUUUACAUGGGUGCUGGAGAUCUGAACUCGAGUCACAGACAUGGAGAAAGACAUGGACAAUGUAGGAAUGGGUGCUAUCACACAUUAAGGUGAAUAAUUUAGGACAGACCCAGGAAGCUAAUUUUCUUGAGGGAGGGGACAAUUAUGCUGGUUCCUACUGGCCUCCCAACAUGGUCUUUUCUUUUCUUUUCUUUUCUUUUCUUUUUUUUUUUUCCUUUUUUUCUGAGCUGGGGACCAAACCCACAGCCUUGCGGUUGCUAGGCAAGCGCUCUACCACUGAGCUAAAUCCCCAACCCCCAACAUGGUCUUUUCUAUUCAUUAACUCACUAGGUUCUGGGACAUCUGGACUACUAUAGAGGAGGAGAGGUAACUGCUGAGAUAGGUUGGGGAGGACCUCCAGAAGAGUCAAGGACUGCUGGGCAUGGCGUGGGCUACUCAGGACUGCCUGCUGCCUCUCUGGCCACUAGCAGGUGACAGAGAAGAUCAAGUGGGAGGCUGAGAAAGAAACUCACUUCCAGCUUUUGAACACCAUGCUACUUUCCACAGCCCACUGGUCUGAACACUACCGUCAGAACAGCCUGCUACUGAGUCACAGAGAACAGGAGACAGCAGGCACAUGUGUCAGUGAGCUUGGUGUCCAGCUGGUCCAAACGGGCUGGUUGGGAACACUGCACAGGCAUUUUCUCCUGCACUGUUUGAUCCAUAGAGGCUGUUGCUGAGGUUUUCCUCUUUUGGCUCCUGAGAGGGUACCAAAUUUAUGGCAGAUGAACUCUAGUUCUCAAAGAAACAGAAGCAUGGCUUGACAUCACCCAUAAUAUCUUUCUAUAUCUUGGGAAGCUAUAGCUUCUCAUUGGAAUGGUUCUACGCGUCAGUUACCACAAGCCCUGAAGGUGUGAGAGGUACAAUGACCCUAGACCCGGGCUUGGAGGAUGUGCUGGUUUUGGAAGAAAUCCCUGACUCUACUUCUUAUGUGUUCCAUUUUCAAAACGCAGACUGCAGAGGAGAGCUGACCACUGUGUGAGCUUUCUGGAUGCCCAGAUUCUGUUGGGGGUUGGGGGGAAUUUUCCUGUAAUUAAACUGUAAGAACUAAUUGUAAUUAAAUUGCACUGUCUGUGAGAAAUCUGUCACUUCUCAGAAUUGGCUGUGAGGACGAAGCUCCAGUGUGGGUGUAAUUAAGACCUGAGAUGUGGAGGUCUUCAGGGCCCUGUGCAGGUGGGAAUAGGUGGGCGUUGAUUUCCUGCAAUCUUGUCGGUCUCCCCCAUGC